AUUGAACGCUAGCGGGAUGCCUUACACAUGCAAGUCGAACGGAGUGGCGAACGGGUGCGUAAGGUAUCGGAACGCGCCCAGUAGCGGGGGAUAACUACGCGAAAGCGUAGCUAAUACCGCAUACUAUUGGAGCGGCCGUUAUCGGUUUGGCUGUGUGGUGGGGUAACGGCUCACCAAGGCGACGAUCCGUAGCGGGUUUGAGAGGACGACCAGCCACACUGGGACUGAGACACGGCCAAGCCUCCUACGGGAGGCAGCAGUGGGGAAUUUUGGACAAUGGGGGAAACCCUGAUCCAGCCAGCCCGCGUGUGCGAUGAAGGCCUUCGGGUUGUAAAGCACUUUUGGCAGGAAAGCGGUACCUGCAGAAUAAGCACCGGCUAACUACGUGCCAGCAGCCGCGGUAAUAC
rnacentral:rRNA from 1 species